UCUCGCUACUCUGAGGACGACGACUAUGGUGACAAGGAGAUCCAUGCUGCCUACGGUGUCGACACCAAUUGGUACCAGGACUCCGGUGCUACUCAUCAUAUCACGAGUGAGCUCAACAACUUGACGUUCCGCGAUACCUACAAGGGUUCCGACAGGGUUAACACCGCCAAUGGGCAAGGUCACCAGGAGAAUCAUUCAUAGAGGACGAUGUGUUGGCGGUCUCUACCCUCUUAUAUCAUCCUUGGCGUCUUCAGGGUCCAUGAAGCAUGCUUUUGGGGCUGCCAAACUCGGCCAAUCUCAGUGGCAUAGUCGUUUAGGUCAUCCUUCCUUAGUCGUUGUUAGGCAAAUAAUAAGUAAGCACAAGCUUCCAUGUGUUAGAGAUACCAGCGUUGUGUCAGUUUGUGACUCCUGCCAGCAGGGUAAAAGUCACCAGCUUCCCUAUCCUAUUUCUACUAGUGUUUCUACAGCCCCUCUUCAGUUAGUCUUCUCUGAUGUAUGGGGUCCUGCUCCUACUUCUGUCGGUCGUCAUGAUUACUAUGUAAGCUUUAUUGAUGAUUAUAGCAAGUUUACUUGGAUCUACCUGCUCAAACAUAAAUCUGAUGCCUUA